rnacentral:rRNA from 1 species
CGCGUAGGCGGCCUUCUAAGUCGAACGUGAAAUCCCUGGGCUCAACCCAGGAACUGCGUCCGAUACUGGGAGGCUUGAAUCCGGGAGAGGGAUGCGGAAUUCCAGGUGUAGCGGUGAAAUGCGUAGAUAUCUGGAGGAACACCGGUGGCGAAGGCGGCAUCCUGGACCGGCAUUGACGCUGAGGCGCGAAAGCCAGGGGAGCAAACG